CAGCAUUGCUAUCCACAGUGGUGCAGCCAUGACUUUUCUCCUACUUCCCUCUCUUCUCCUUGUUUCUGCUUCCUGGUUUGCACCAGGCCCUGCCCAGAUAACUAACAGUGAGUUCCAUGACCCCUGUAAGACUUGGUUCUCUUGAACUUGGCUGUUGCUCUGGACUUUCCAGGGUUAAGCUUUGCCUGAUGUAGAUUGGCCUACUGGUCUUCCUGGCAUUACCUGUUCCUUGGAGCCAUGUUUGCCUCACCUGUCCUUCCAGUCAGUCCUUGUCUGUGGACAACAGAAUUGAGGAGGAGGACAACAUGAGAAAGAAACUGAUAAGAGGGACUUGGGCUUGGGAACAACAGAAGCUAUUGUAAGGAAUCCCGUUAAUAUACUNCUCAAGGAACUCCCCAUGUACUUUUUUUUUUUUUUAAACAACAUAUGUUACUUUCCUAUGAUAAUGGCAAACAAUUUUUUAAAUAUUCACUUGCUUUUUCUUUGUUUCUUUAAAGACAAUGCAGCACUUUUAAAUUUAAUUUAAUUUGAUUUUUAUCUUUUUGGCAGUGCCUGCGUGAGGCAUGCGGAAGUUUUCAGGCCAGGAAUUGAACACACCCCACAGCAGCGACCUGAGCAGCUGCAGUGAAAAUGCUAGAUCUUUAACCUGCUGCACUGUAAGACAACUCCAGCACUUUUUUUUAAUGUGACAACUCAUGCCUGAAUCAUGAUCAGAAAUGUAGUGGUUUGCAAGUAAUUUUUAGAGAGUUGAAAGUUGGUAAUGAUUUAUUUAUAAAGGAGAGUAGAUUCAUUAGUUAUUUCUGCUUACUUCAUUCAGUUACACAUUCAAAUUAAAAAGAAAGAGUUGGAGUUACAGAUAACAUGUGAAUUGCUAUAACCCAUAAGUCUAUCUUUCCUAUAAGCUCUUUUGUACCCAGGAGGAUUUGUAAAGUCUAUGGACAUCUGACCAGGGUACCAAGGCAGAAAAAAGGUCAGUGGUCCAACAGAUAGGUGUCUUUGGUAAACUUUAGCAAGUCAAAAGUUUAAUAGCCCUUAUUAGCCCUUUAUUAAAUAAAAUUCCUACCUUUAUUUAAUGUUGUAAGACAUAAUCAUGAAAAUGUUUGCAUUCUCCACUAUUUUUUACUGUUUCUUAAGGAAAAGUAAAUUCUUUAUCUUUUGCUAUCAUGUAAUUGAAUAGUUCACCUCUUUACGAACUUGAAAAUCUUAAAGAUUAUUUUCCCCUUGAAGCAUCAUUUCCUUUGCUCAUCCUGGAAAGUUCACUCAGUAUAGCCUUCUGUGGUUGUAAAAGUUUUUUCCAAAGCUUUGGUAGAAUCCUUUCUUUAUUCCAAUCGAUCUGCCACAGGAAAAAACGUCUUUACUUACACUUUACUCCUUAGUCCCCCUGUACUAACAGGGCAGGAGGCAGUAACAUUGUCACAGAUAAAUCUAUGCUUUUUCUUGUGUGUUGCUGCUGUGGCUGUUAGUUGUGGUUCCCUGCAGUUUUGAACUUCCUGGUUCCCUCAAUGCCAGUGGAGGCUUUUCCCAGCAUUCCCUUUUGCAGGUCCUCUAAAGGAAUUGCAAGAUUUUAAUUUCCUCUAUUAAAUGACAUUUUGCUAGAAAUGCCUCUGAAGGCUUCUCCUUAGCCAUCUACACCAUGGAUAAUACAUUUUUCAGGCUGUUCCAUGCUUCCCUUGUACACGGUUCUAGAUAACUCUGAGUGAGCCAUAAAUGUAGUCUAUGUAUAGAGCUUCUCUCAACUAUGCAAAUAUCUAUCCUUAAUGGUCUUUUAAAAAUAAAACAGAUCUAAUC
rnacentral:lncRNA from 1 species